rnacentral:rRNA from 1 species
AUACGUAGGGGGCGAGCGUUGUCCGGAAUGAUUGGGCGUAAAGGGCGCGUAGGCGGCCCGGUAAGUCUGGAGUGAAAGUCCUGCUUUUAAGGUGGGAAUUGCUUUGGAUACUGUCGGGCUUGAGUGCAGGAGAGGUAAGUGGAAUUCCCAGUGUAGCGGUGAAAUGCGUAGAGAUUGGGAGGAACACCAGUGGCGAAGGCGACUUACUGGACUGUAACUGACGCUGAGGCGCGAAAGUGUGGGGAGCAAACAGGAUUAGAUACCCUGGUAGUCCACACUGUAAACGAUGAAUGCUAGGUGUAGGGGGUAUCGACCCCUUCUGUGCCGCAGUUAACACAAUAAGCAUUCCGCCUGGGGAGUACGGCCGCAAGGUUGAAACUCAAAUGAAUUGGCGGGG